rnacentral:rRNA from 1 species
AUGAAUUUAAUUCCGAAAAUCUCUACUGUCAAAGGCUCCAAGUGCCAAGUAUGUGUGCAAGCUAAGCAACCUCGCAAGUCCCAUAAGACUGCUGAGGCAAGAGACUUGGCACCACUAGAGCUUAUACAUUCUGAUCUUUGUGAGAUGAAUGGCAUGUUGACCAAAGGUAGAAAGAGAUACUUCAUGACGUUGAUUGAUGACUCCACUAGAUAUUGUUAUGUGUAUCUUCUGAAAUCAAAAGAUGAGGCUUUGACUUUCUUUAAAAACUAUAAAGCUGAGGCAGAGAACCAAAUUGAUCGAAAAAUUAAACGGCUUAGGUCCGAUCGUGGUGGAGAGUAUUUUCCAAUGAAUUUGAUCUGUUUUGUGUGA